GUGGCCUAGUGGUUAAAGCAUCAGCCUUGGAUGCAGGAGGUCGUGGGUUCGAGUCCCAGUCAAGUCA